CAGAUAUUGUUUUACAAAAUAUAAAUUAAAAAAUUGGCAUUAAAUUAAACCCACAGAGAAUGGAAUAGCUUAAAAAUAAAUUCCAACUAUUAUAAGAAUUUGGUGUGUGCAAGUCAAAAGCAACAUAACAACAGGGCUCAACAUGAAGGAUUUAGAUGAGGUGGAAAUCUGAGAUAUGUCAUCUGUCAACUGGAUUCUAUCAGGUGACAGGUUUCCUGUGUAAUCUGGGACAUGUGUCACCAGAGGUGUGUGGUUUAGCAAUUAGAGAUAUGCAAUAUUUUAUGAUUAGUAAUAAAAAAUAAUUAAGGACUAAUUUUAAAUAUUUAAAAUAUUUAUAUUCAUUAGGUUCUUUUGUUUUCCUAAAGUUUCUUAGAGUUUUGAUUUGUUGUAAAGAUGUUGACUUGAUUUACAUAGCAACUUAGUGCAACAUUCUAAAGUUUGUGGCAUUUACUCAAUCUUUGCCUAUGCUAUUUUUUUUUAUGGAGAAAAUGUACUUAAUCCAACAAGAGUACAAGUGGAAGACAAGGAAAAGGAGGGAAAGUCUGGGAGAAAAUGCAUGUGAGAUGAGCUUACAGUUAAAAGUGGGAAGUAGGCAGUAAAUGAAGAAGUUUUCAAAACUGAAAAUAUCUACUACUUGGUGAAGCCACUGGUUACAAGUGAAGCAGUAAGAGUUUGAGGAAAGAAUCAAAGUUUUGGAGAAGUCAUGAAAACAUUAGGUAAAAGAGAUGAAGAAACAUAAAUAUGAAAAGAAAAAAAAAAAAGAAUUGCCAACCUAUCUCCAGUUGAGAUUAAGAAUCCAGAAUCUACAUUAACAAUCCCC
rnacentral:lncRNA from 1 species